rnacentral:misc_RNA from 1 species
CCGAGUGCGGGCCUCGCGGCCCAACCUCCCACCCUUGUCUCUAUACACCUGUUGCUUUGGCGGGCCCACCGGGGCCACCUGGUCGCCGGGGGACGCACGUCCCCGGGCCCGCGCCCGCCGAAGCGCUCUGUGAACCCUGAUGAAGAUGGGCCGUCUGAGUACUAUGAAAAUUGUCA